rnacentral:rRNA from 1 species
UAGUCAUAUGCUUGUCUCAAAGAUUAAGCCAUGCAUGUCUAAGUAUAAAUAGAAUACAGUGAAACUGCGAAUGGCUCAUUAAAACAGUUAUAGUUUAUUUGAUAAUUGAAGUUUACAUGGAUAACCGUGGUAAUUCUAGGGCUAAUACAUGCAUGAAGACCCGACUCACGAAGGGUUGUAUUUAUUAGAUAUUAAGCCAAUAUUCCGCAAGGUCUAUUGUGGUGAAUCAUAGUAACUGAUCGGAUCCCCAAUUGGGGAUAAAUCAUUCAAGUUUCUGCCCUAUCAGCUUUCGAUGGUAGUGUAUUGGACUACCAUGGCAGUAACGGGUAACGGAGAAUUAGGGUUCGGUUCCGGAGAGGGAGCCUGAGAAACGGCUACCACAUCUAAGGAAGGCAGCAGGCGCGUAAAUUACCCAAUGCAGACUCUGCGAGGUAGUGACAAUACAUAACAACCUGGGGUCUCACGACUUACGGGAUUGCAAUGAGAACAAUUUAAAAACCUUAACGAGGAACAAGUGGAGGGCAAGUCUGGUGCCAGCAGCCGCGGUAAUUCCAGCUCCACUAGCGUAUAUUAAAGUUGUUGCAGUUAAAAAGCUCGUAGUUGAACUUCUGGCUGUUGCUAGUGUCGGUAUUUAUAUCGCGCUAGCGACAGUCAUCCGCCUGCAAACCUUUACAUCCUUAACUGGUUUGUCUAGGGGAGCAGGCAUUUUACUUUGAAAAAAUUAGAGUGUUUAAGGCAGGCAUUAGCCUGAAUACAUUAGCAUGGAAUAAUGGAAUAGGACGCUUGUCCAUUUGAUUGAUUAUUGGACUCGCGUAAUGAUUAAUAGGGACAGUUGGGGGCAUUAGUAUUUAAUUGUCAGAGGUGAAAUUCUUGGAUUUAUUAAAGACUAACUUAUGCGAAAGCAUUUGCCAAGGAUGUUUUCAUUAAUCAAGAACGAAAGUUAGGGGAUCAAAGACGAUCAGAUACCGUCCUAGUCUUAACUAUAAACUAUGCCGACUCGGUUUUGGUAGGGUCCAAUUAGCUCUAUCAGCGCCGUAUGAGAAAUCAAAGUCUUUGGGUUCUGGGGGGAGUAUGGU